rnacentral:lncRNA from 10 species
CACAAGUGUUCAUACCAGCUUUAUUUGAAAUAGCCAAAAACUGGAAACAAUCUAAAUGUCCAUCGGCAGGUAAACAGAUGAAUGUGGUUUAUCCACACGACAAAAUCCUACUCACAAUGAGAAGAAAUAGAUUGGGAUAUGCAAUAAAAUUAAUCUUUCAAAAUAAUUUUUCUAAGUGAAAGAAACCAAAAAAUACAUACUGUAUAACUGCAUUUAUACAAAAUUAUAGAAAAUGCAAAUUAAUCUCUAGUGACAGAAGGUAGACCAGUGCUUCCCCAAGGGUGGAGUGGGGGUGAGGAGGGGCAGUGCAGGGAACACGGAAGGGCCCGGGUGACUUCCUUGGGGGAUUGUGCAUGAUUUCGAUUGUGGGGAUGAUUUCAUGGUAAAUGCCUGUCAAAGGAAAUCACGUUUUAUACCUUAAAUAUGUCUGGUGUGUUGUCUGUUACACCAGAAUACCAGAACAAAGCUGUUUCAAAAGAGAGGAAAACUAAAAUUAGCUCCUUCAGACAGGGAGUGGUCAGAGAACAUAUACAAUUAAUUUUAUUACUGAAAAAGAAAGAAAAUAACGUUUAUCAGUAGAACAUUUUUGUAUUAUGGAGCUAGAAAACUCCAUAAUACUUCAGGAGCUAGAAAACUUUUGUAAUGCAUAUGCAUUAUAGAAAAUGAUUAUAUGUUUAGCCAAUAUUCUAGAACUUAUCCACCUAUGCAAUGAAAUGCUGUUUUCCCAAAACACAGACUGAAAAUAAAAAUUUUUAUUCCAAUAUGUGGCCAUUGCUCAAUAACCAUUUUUGGACUGUCUCCUGGAUUUGAAAUGAUUUUCAGUCCCAGUUUAUGAGCAACAUUAGAAAACUACUUUUAUUGUUUUAUGAUCACACCUGGCAAAUGAAAUCCUUAUUACAUUUCCUACUUUAAAGCUGGGAUUUCUAAAAUGUAUUUGAAAGCAGCCCAGUUUUGACACAGUGUAACACACUGCCUUUCAACAACUUCCUCAGUGACCAUUUUCUCAAGGACAUUAUCUUGGAGCAAAAUUGGCUUUGUGUUUCCUCCUAUGAAAUGUGCACACUGCCUGAAUAUCAGAUAGCUUAGAAUAAUAAAACUACAUGUUUAUAAAUGGAAAAAGUACUAAUAUGUGAAGUGAAUAAAAUAUGGCUCUUCAAUGAUGAGUUUAAAACUGAUGCUAUCAAAAAAUAUUGGUAUAAAUCCCCCAUCUUAUCAGCACUCACUUUAUCCAUCUUUGGAAUAACACACACUUUCUCUUUAGAAUUUCUUACUCUUUUAAUUAUAUAAUAUUAGGUACACUGAAGGAAUAGUAUAAAAAAUUCCUUCUAAUUGUAAAGUAUUAUAAAGUAUGAAUACUCAGAUUGCUUGAGCCCAGGAGUUCAAGACCAGCCUGGGCAACAUGGCGAAACCCUGACUCUACAAAAACAUACAAAAAUUACCCAGGUGUGGUGGCAUGCAUCUGUAGUCCCAGCUACUAGGGAGGCUGAUGUGGGAGGAUCGAUUGAGCCCAGGAGGUCGAGGCUGCAGUGAGCCAUGAUUGAGCCAGUGCGCUCCAGCCUGGGUGACACAGUGAGACACUGUCUCAAAAAAAAAAAGAAACAAAAAACAAAAAAACAUGUUCCCACCAUCCAAAUUGAGAACCAAACACUGCCAAUUCUGAGCUCUUCCCAAUCCUACCCUCUGCCCCCAAAAUAGGUGACCACGGAUUAGAUAGACGGACUGGCAGACGUGGUUUGGUUUUGCUUGUUUUUGUACUUUAUGAAAAUGGUUUCAUAUGUCUGUGGUCUUCAGUGCCUAUGUUUUCAUUCCACAUUAUGUUCCUAAGAUCAAGGAUUGAGUGUAGCGUGGUGUUCUCCGAUUUUACCGCUCUGUGCUAACUCUGUGUAGAUUUGCCAGUUUACCCCUGUGGAUGUUUGUGUUGUUUCUAGUUUGAUGCUAUCACCCUGCACAGUCUCCCAACACAUGUUCAAGUUCUUUAGAAGAGUGGUUCUCAAACUGGACAGCAGAAUCCCACGUGAGAGCAUGUUUAUUAUAAAAGGCAGGUCACCAUUCCCCAGAGAUUCUGAGUCAGUAGCUUCUAGAGACCCAGAGGUCUCCAUUUUAACAAACACUCAAGACGAUUCUAAUGCAAAUGCUCUAGACAUUACAGCAUAAUCAACCGUAUUCUAAACACACACCUAGUGUGCUGGGCACAGAGGUAUGCACACAGCCAGACUUCCAAGAUAAUGUUUCCAAAGUUGCUGUAUUACUUUAGGCCCCAACCAACAGGGUGCAAAGUUCCAAUAGUCUAUAUAUGCUCCACAGAUUUUCCCUCCAAUCUAAUGACUGUGAAAUGGCAUUUCAUUUUGGCCUUAAUUUUCAAGUUCUCAAUUUCUGUAUUUUGUUAUUGGCUACUCAUAUUUUCUCUUUUGUUACAUACCUAUUCAGGUCUGCUGUUCAAUUUCCAAUUCUCCUAUAGAUAUAUAAAAUCUUAUUUUGUUCACUAUCCUGGAUAGCAGUCCUUUGUGAAUUAUAUAUGUUGCAACUACCACUUGUGGUUUAUCAUUUCACCCUAACGGUGUCUUAUAAUGAACAGAAUCUUUUAAUUUUAAUGUAGCUGAAUUCAUCCAUCUUUUCUAGUAUGCUUAAUGCAUUUUUAAAGAACUUUAAUAAAUCUAAAGUUAUAAAAACAAUUUUAAUUUUGAUGUUUCUCCUUUAAAAUUUAACAGUUAAUGCUGGAAUUCAUUUUUGUUUGGUGUGAGGUAUGGAUCCAAAUAGAUUACUUCAUUUCAUGUGGAAAACAAACAGUACUAGAACCAUUAACUAAAUAGGUCACUGUAUUAGUCAGGGUUCUCCAGAGAAACAGAACCAAUAGGAUGUAUAUAGAUACACAAAGACUUGUGAUGAGGGACUGGCUCAUGUGAUUAUGGAGGCUGAGAAGUCCUGCAGUCUGUCAUCUGCAAACUACAGGCCCAAGAGAGCUAGUGGUGGUGUUCCAAGCCAAGUCUGAAGGCCUGAGACCCUCCCACCCCCAAUCAAUCAUGCCUAGACAGGGUGUCACAUACCAGGGCAUGACCACUCCGACAGCAUCCAUGUGAGAGGUAGACGUGGUGCCCAGGUGAGAGGGAGGCAGAGUCUGUGGAGUGGGGGGGGGGCAAGGUGCUCAUCAGCAUGGGUGACAGAUGAACUUAGCUAAGAUAAUGGUGUCUCCAAGUUGUGACUGACAUUUCCUAACUCAUCAUCAACUCUUUAAGGGGAAAAUCCUGAUCAUAUAUUUUAGGUUGUCAGUGCUUGAAACAUCUUUUGAGUACACUAAGAAAUGCCUGCACAGUCAAUACCUUUCCUAUUCUGAACUGUAGAAUGAAGAACACUUCUUUCCAGCAAGAACUGCCUGUUCUAACCCUUAGAUCUCAAUCCAUCCUCUUUCUCCAUCCUACUGCCAACAACAGCCCGGGCAACCAACAUCCUUCACCUGGAUGACUGGGCAGUCUCCCCACUUCUGAUCUUCACCCUUUCAGGUGCAGAGGAUGAAAUCCACACUCUUCCCCAGAGCUUCUGGGUGGGACGGUGCCUGCAUGUCACCCCAGCCCCCCGGGGCCACCACAUUUCACCUGCACUCUGGUCACUCUGAUCUCAGCACCUGAAGUGUGCCAAGCUCACCUUGUUUUUGCUUAUGGCACUCUGCUCACUGGAAACUCUCCCCACCACUUCCUGGUGCCUUGACUAACCUCAGAGAAGCCUCCAUGACCAGAUACCCAAGGAAGCUCCUCACUAUUCUCCACUCAGCCCACAAACCAACAGGCCCCAGGAAACUCUAGCUUGACUUCCACACAGAGCUCCUGCAUCUCCAAAGACCUGCUUAGUUCAUUUUCAUUUUGACCAAAAGCUGCUUAAUAAAAGAUAUUCUACUAAAAUUAAUUUUAAAUUACACAAGACUUUUGGCCAGGCGCGGUGGCUCAAGCCUAUAAUCCUAGCACUUUGGGAGGCAAAGGUGAGCAACUGCUUUAGCUUAGAAGUUCGAGACCAGCCUAGACAACACAGUGAGACCCUGUCACAAAAAAAAAUUUUUUAAUUAAAAAAAAAAAAUCACACAAGACUUUUGGCUAAUUUCAUUUUCAGCUUCUUCCCACUAUAAGAUGAAUUGUAUAUGUUACAUAUAAUAAAUUCAGGUGUUCCCAAAUUUUAGCAUAGUUUUUUAAAUUCUAAGUUAUUAGGGAAAAACAGUAAACCUAUGGAUAGUAAGGGAGACCAGUGCCCUGGCGUUUUGGUGAAAUCACAGCAAUGUGUAAGCAUUUCUAUCUGGAUUCUUGAUACUAAUAGAGCAUGAACUUUUAAAUUCACUGAAGAUGUAACAUUAUGAAAUUUAGACAAUAAUCGCAGGCUAUUUAAGGAGGAAGGUGAGAAAGUUAAGUAACCAGUGGAGAAAUGGUCUGCCUUUCUGGGUGUGAAGAUACUCCCAGCGCCAAUGCAGCUUAGGCAGUGGCCUCGCCAGCGUGAAGGAGCCACUAUCUGCUCAAGCAAGAACCCUCCCAGACUCUCCACCUGCUGAGACCGCAGCAGCCUCAGCCUCAGCCACAGCCACGGCCUG